GGAAUGAGAGGCCUGAGUCGGAUGAUGAGGAUGAGGACACCGAAGGGAAUCAGAGGCCUGAGUUGGAUGAUGAGGAUGAGGACGCUGAGGAGAAUGAAAGGCCUGAGUUGGAUGAUGAAGAUGAGGAUGAGGAUGAUGAUGACGAGGAUGAUGCUGGGAGCGGGGAAAUUGAAGGGGAGAAUUGGCCUUUUAGGGUGAGUAAUGGGCAUCCAAGUAGGAACGAGGGGGUUAUUGAUGUUGAUGAGGAUGAGGAGAGUGAUGCGGAUGAGGAGGUAACUGAGACUUCUAGAGGGAUUAACGGAUUAAUUGGUGCGGAUGAGGACACCGAAGGGAAUCAGAGGCCUGAGUUGGAUGAUGAGGAUGAGGACGCUGAGGAGAAUGAAAGGCCUGAGUUGGAUGAUGAAGAUGAGGAUGAGGAUGAUGAUGACGAGGAUGAUGCUGGGAGCGGGGAAAUUGAAGGGGAGAAUUGGCCUUUUAGGUUGAGUAAUGGGUAUCCAAGUAGGAACGAGGGGGUUAUUGAUGUUGAUGAG
rnacentral:lncRNA from 1 species